UUCCACACUCUUCUUCUUCAUCUUCUUCUUCUUAUCGCCGCCGGCCCCGGCUUCCUUCGGGAGUUUCUUGCCGGCUUUUGGUUUCUUCUCCGCCGGAGCUUUCUCGGCUUUUGAUUUCUCCUCUACUGGUUUCUCGGCGGCUGGUUUCUUCUCCGCGGGCUUCUUCUCUGCUCUCGGCGCCAUUGUUUUGACUUUUGUUUUACUUUUCUGGGUGAAGAAGAAGAAGCACAGAUCUGAGUGAUUUUGAUA